rnacentral:ncRNA from 1 species
CGCUUGCAAAUUAUGGGGGCCCUGAAAAAGGCCGUUUGGACCACUGCCAGAACCUAACAGACGUAACGAGCACUUGACAAGCGAUUGGCGCAUAAGUCGUCUUUGUGCACGCAGGCGGGCGACGGACUCAGCGCAGCGAAUCACUCGAAGUCACCGGAGCUGUCAGAAUUCUCGUCCUCCGCACUAUAGAAAAGGUCUACGUCUGCGUCGGGGCUGUAGUUUUUGGUGGCCGCGAAGACGAACGACUGGAAUCAAUCAGCGCUUCCGCGCGCCUUCUCUCUCCUCCAAAAGAUACGGUUUGUCUGGUUGAUUCCGAUAACGAACGAAACUCUAGCCUAUUAAAUAGGUGAGUGGUUCUUUGCACCUUGCACCCUUUUUAGAGGGACAAGCGGCUCCUAGCCGCACGAAAUAGAGCAAUAACAGGUCUGUCAUGCCCUUAGAUGUCCGGGGCCGCACGCGCGCUACACUGAAGGAACCAGCGUGUUUGUACCCAUGUCUGUACAGACUAAGUAGCCCGUGGAUUGGAGAGUAUCAGCCAGCAUCUGGGUGCUGUUACUCAGG